UACAGAGGUCCCAAGCGUUGUUCGGAUUCAUUGGGCGUAAAGGGUGCGUAGGUGGCGCCGUAAGUCGGGUGUGAAAUUUCGGAGCUUAACUCCGAAACUGCAUUCGAUACUGCGGUGCUUGAGGACUGGAGAGGAGACUGGAAUUCAUGUGUAGCAGUGAAAUGCGUAGAGAUCAUGAGGAAGACCAGUGCGAAGCGGUCUCUGGACAGUCUGACACUGAGCACGAGGCCAGGGAGCAAACGG
rnacentral:rRNA from 1 species